CUCCUACGGGAGGCAGCAGUGGGAAUCUUGCACAAUGGGGGCAACCCGUGAUGCAGCGACGCCGCGUGAACGAUGAAGCCCUCGGGUGUAAAGUUCUUUCGGCAGGGACGAUAAUGACGGUACCUCGAAGAACGAAGCUGCGGCUAACUACGUGCCAGCCGCCGCGGUAAUUC
rnacentral:rRNA from 1 species